rnacentral:RNase_P_RNA from 1 species
GGAGGAGGUCAAGCAGUCGCACACCCCGACUCGAUCGGGGCGCGAGGAAAGUCCGGACUCCGCAGGGCAGGGUGGCCGUUAACGGCGGCCCCGAGCGAUCGGGGGAAAGUGCCACAGAAAAGAGACGGCCCCGCGGUCGUAACCGCGGGGAGUCGGUGAAACGGUGAGCGUUGCUCACCAGCGGUGGCGGUGACGCCGCCGCUCGGCAAACCCCACCCGGAGCAAGACGAACAGGAGGGCAGCGUGGCCCGCGCGGACCCUCGGGUACGUUGCUUGAGCCGGCCGGAAACGACCGGCCCAGAGGAAUGACUGCUGCCUGCCCGAGUUGCGGGCAGGAACAGAAUCCGGCUUAUCGACCUCCUCCGGUC